GAUGAACGCUGGCGGCGUGCCUAAUACAUGCAAGUCGAGCGAACAGACGAGGAGCUUGCUCCUCUGACGUUAGCGGCGGACGGGUGAGUAACACGUGGAUAACCUACCUAUAAGACUGGGGUAACUUCGGGAAACCGGAGCUAAUACCGGAUAAUAUAUUGAACCGCAUGGUUCAAUAGUGAAAGACGGUUUUGCUGUCACUUAUAGAUGGAUCCGCGCCGCAUUAGCUAGUUGGUAAGGUAACGGCUUACCAAGGCAACGAUGCGUAGCCGACCUGAGAGGGUGAUCGGCCACACUGGAACUGAGACACGGUCCAGACUUCUACGGGAGGCAGCAGUAGGGAAUCUUCCGCAAUGGGCGAAAGCCUGACGGAGCAACGCCGCGUGAGUGAUGAAGGUCUUCGGAUCGUAAAACUCUGUUAUUAGGGAAGAACAAAUGUGUAAGUAACUAUGCACGUCUUGACGGUACCUAAUCAGAAAGCCACGGCUAACUACGUG
rnacentral:rRNA from 1 species